GACGAACGCUGGCGGCGUGCUUAACACAUGCAAGUCGAACGGAAAGGCCUCUUUCGGGGGGUACUCGAGGGGCGAACGGGUGAGUAACACGUGAGUAACCUGCCCUUGACUUUGGGAUAACGUCAGGAAACUGGGGCUAAUACCGGAUAGGAGCUCCUGCUGCAUGGUGGGGGUUGGAAAGUUUCGGCGGUUGGGGAUGGACUCGCGGCUUAUCAGCUUGUUGGUGGGGUAGUGGCUUACCAAGGCUUUGACGGGUAGCCGGCCUGAGAGGGUGACCGGCCACAUUGGGACUGAGAUCCGGCCCAGACUCCUACGGGAGGCAGCAGUGGGGAAUAUUGCACAAUGGGUGGAAGCCUGAUGCAGCAACGCCGUGUGCGGGAUGACGGCCUUCGGGUUGUAAACCGCUUUCGCUCAUGACGAAGCUUUGUGUGACGGUAGUGGGUAAAGAAGCACCGGCUAACUACGUG
rnacentral:rRNA from 1 species